CUUGAACCCACGAACCGUGAGAUCGUGACCCCAGCCGAAGGCGGAUGCUUAACUCAAUGCGUCACCCAGGUGCCCCUAUGCUGCACAUAUUUAAAGUGCGAUUUGGUCAUCUUUGACAUGUAUAUGCAACCAUGACAUAAUCAACCACAAAGUAAUGAACACAUCCAUCAUCCCCAAAAGUUUCUUUGCGCCCAAUUAAGAUGUUUCCCUCCUGCCCCUGGCCACACCGUCUCCACCCUUGUGCUCAGGGAAUCACUGGUCUGCUUUCUGUUAUUCUAAAUUAGUGUGUGUAUUUUUUAUAAGGGUGAAAUCAGAUGGACAUACUGGCUAAUGCCAUCAGGAACAUUUUCCUGUGAGACUUAAAAUCUUUAACAGCUUUAUUGAGAUAUAAUUAAUAUCCCACAAAUUCUCCCAGUGAGAGUAUACAAUUCAGUGGUUUCCGUAAAUUCACAGUUGUGCAACUAUCAUCGUAACUGAAUUCCAGAACACUUCUAUUGCCCCAAAAUAACCCUGCACCCAUGAGCAGCCACCCCCACCUCCCUGCCUCCCUCCAGUGCUGGACAACCACCAAUACUCUUUCUGUCUCUACAGAUUUCCCUAUUCUGGACGUUUCGUGCAAAUGGAAUCACACAAAGUUCUUUGGGAUCUUAAUAUUUUUUGAAACCCCAUGUUAAAUGGGUGCUCGGGGCUCUGAACAUUCCCUUGUUGGAUAUUUUGGUUAACUUGAACGUUCAUCUGCUUUGGGAGGACCACCCACCUCGCCCCCACUGGAAGAUCCGGAGGUGGGAUCAUAAAGGAUGAGUGGAAAGUGGGGCGCCCGCCCUGUCUUUGUUCCCAGCACCCCGUUGGAAGAGUGGGUUAUCACGCACUCCUCCAGAGACUCGGGCCCCUCCUCGGCUCAUGCAGGUUCCCCCGGUGCUGUCACCGUCCGCUCGUAGAGGCACUCGGCAAACGUUGGCUGGUAACACACAGAUCGGGGCCGGCUUCCCCUUGCCUGUGUGGGGUCAUAUGUUGCCCACGCUCGGGACGGAGCUGGGGUUCCAGCAAAUGCUCCUGCCAUGGCCUUUCAGGCAGGAACCCCUCCUGUGUUGCUAAUAAGGACGAUCAUUGGAAAGAGACACCGAGAUCGGGUGGAAAAAGUGAGCGGUCCAGCUUGGAAGGAGGAUUUCCUGCACAAUCGAAACCCCAACCCAGACCAAGCCUGAGUAAGGCCGCAAAGUAAUGGGGGUAGGGUUUUCAUGUGACUUGUCCACUGACUCCCAAAGGUGGUUCCCAUAAUGCCCUCAGCCAUGGCAGACCACUGCGUGUCCCCACCCCACCCCCCGCCCCCAAUGCCAGUUCUGG
rnacentral:lncRNA from 1 species